GUUUCACCAUGUUGGCCAGGCUGGUCUCGAACUCCUGACCUCAGGUGAUCUACCCUCCUCGGCCUCCCAAAGUGUUGGGAUUACAGGCGUGAUAUACUGUAAUCACGCCCGGCCAAUAUACUGCAUUUUGUAAAAGCAUUUAUUUAUUAUUAUUUUGUUUUGAGACUGAGUCUCACUCUGUCGCCCAGGCUGGUGCAAUGGCACGGUCUCAGCUCACUGCAACCUCCACCUCCCAGGAGAAUCGCUUGAACCCAGGAGGCAGAGGUUGCAGUGAGACAAGAUCGCACCACUGCACUCCAGCCUGGGCAACAGAGUGAAACCCCAUCUCAAAAAAAAAAUAAAAA
rnacentral:lncRNA from 10 species